GACGAACGCUGGCGGCGCGCCUAACACAUGCAAGUCGAACGAGCGAGAGAGAGCUUGCUUUCUCAAGCGAGUGGCGAACGGGUGAGUAACGCGUGAGGAACCUGCCUCAAAGAGGGGGACAACAGUUGGAAACGACUGCUAAUACCGCAUAAGCCCACGGCUCGGCAUCGAGCAGAGGGAAAAGGAGCAAUCCGCUUUGAGAUGGCCUCGCGUCCGAUUAGCUAGUUGGUGAGGUAACGGCCCACCAAGGCAACGAUCGGUAGCCGGACUGAGAGGUUGAACGGCCACAUUGGGACUGAGACACGGCCCAGACUCCUACGGGAGGCAGCAGUGGGGAAUAUUGCACAAUGGGGGAAACCCUGAUGCAGCGACGCCGCGUGGAGGGAAGAAGGUCUUCGGAUUGUAAACUCCUGUUGUUGAGGAAGAUAAUGACGGUACUCAACAAGGAAGUGACGGCUAACUACGUG
rnacentral:rRNA from 1 species